AAUGUACUCCCUCCGUCCCGAAAUACUUGUCAGAGAGAUGGAUAAAAUUGGAUGUAUCUAUAUCUAAAGUACGUCUAGAUUCAUCCAUUUCUCUGACAAGUAUUUUCGGACGGAGGGAGUAUGUA
rfam:Triticum urartu cultivar G1812 contig154837, whole genome shotgun sequence.